GGUAUUUCAAACAGCUGCAGAGCUCCUGUGGCUACUAGUUGGAGCAUUUGCAUCUUCUUAAAACAGGAGCGCUCUUCUCGACAACCUCAGAAGAGCGGUAGCCAGUCAUGAGGAGCGCCACAUUUCUGCUCCUGCUUGUCAUAUUGGCACCGAUUCUUGAAGUAACAAGUUUCGGCUUUGGUGUUCUAUUGGCAAGGAUCAUGGCAAGAUUGCCACAAUUACUGAGGCCGGCGCUCCGACUUGCGGCGCACAUCGGGCAUUACGGGUCAGAGAUUGCUGACGCGGCACUGCAGAUUCAAAGGAAAGUCUGAAGAACCAGAACUACCGGACGUCUACGGCAUAGGCAUGUGGAGCCGACCAGGGCCUCACGAUCUCUUGCAUAACCCAAAUGAUGACAUAACUGGAUACACUGGGCCCGGCUUAAAAGGUGUUCCAGAGUUUUCAGCUAACAGCUCAACAAAAAUCAUCUGUGGUAAAUGCCACUGUACAUUUCCCUGGAAAGCAAAAUUUUACGGCGAAAAAAUUGGCUGCAAAGCUGACGUGACUAAGUUCACCUGUACGUGCUUGCAGAAAAGCUGCCAUUCAAAACAGAUCGUAAAGUGCCUAAGAAACUUGGAAAAAGGAAAGUGCGAGGCACAUCCAUACCACAUAGACUGUCUACCAUCAAAUAAAAAAACUGGUUGACCACGCA